CAUGCAGUCGAGCGAGAAUCUUACGACGGAUUCCUUCGGGAUGAAGAUGUAAGAGGAAAGCGGCGGACGGGUGAGUAACGCGUGAGUAACCUGCCUUCAGGAGGGGGACAACAGCUGGAAACGGCUGCUAAUACCGCAUGACAUUACUUUAUCGCAUGAUAGAGUAAUCAAAGAUUUAUCGCCUGAAGAUGGACUCGCGUCUGAUUAGCUAGUUGGUGGGGUAAAGGCCUACCAAGGCGACGAUCAGUAGCCGAACUGAGAGGUUGAUCGGCCACAUUGGGACUGAGACACGGCCCAGACUCCUACGGGAGGCAGCAGUGGGGGAUAUUGCGCAAUGGGGGCAACCCUGACGCAGCAACGCCGCGUGAAGGAUGAAGGUUUUCGGAUCGUAAACUUCUUUAAGUGUGGAAGAAGAUGACGGUACACACAGAAUAAGCCACGGCUAACUACGUGCCAGCAGCCGCGGUAAUACGUAGGUGGCGAGCGUUGUCCGGAUUUACUGGGUGUAAAGGGCGUGUAGGCGGGACUACAAGUCAGAUGUGAAAUACCGGGGCUUAACUCCGGGGCUGCAUUUGAAACUGUAGUUCUUGAGUGCCGGAGAGGAAAGCGGAAUUCCUAGUGUAGCGGUGAAAUGCGUAGAUAUUAGGAGGAACACCAGUGGCGAAGGCGGCUUUCUGGACGGUAACUGACGCUGAGGCGCGAAAGUGUGGGGAGCAAACAGGAUUAGAUACCCUGGUAGUCCACACCGUAAACGAUGGAUACUAGGUGUAGGAGGUAUCGACCCCUUCUGUGCCGGAGUUAACACAAUAAGUAUCCCACCUGGGGAGUACGACCGCAAGGUUGAAACUCAAAGGAAUUGACGGGGGCCCGCACAAGCAGUGGAGUAUGCGGUUUAAUUCGAAGCAACGCGAAGAACCUUACCAGGCUUGACAUCCCACGCAUAGUCUAGAGAUAGAUGAAAUCCUUCGGGACGUGGAGACAGGUGGUGCAUGGUUGUCGUCAGCUCGUGUCGUGAGAUGUU
rnacentral:rRNA from 1 species